rnacentral:rRNA from 1 species
GAUGAACGCUGGCGGCGUGCCUAAUACAUGCAAGUCGAGCGAACAGACGAUGAGCUUGUUCCUCUGACGUUAGCGGCGGACGGGUGCGUAACACGUGGAUAACCUACCUAUAAGACUGGGAUAACUUCGGGAUACCGGAGCUAAUACCGGAUCAUAUAUUGAACCGCUUGGUUCAAUAGUGAAAGACGGUUUUGCUGUCACUUAUAGAUGGAUCCGCGCCGCAUUAGCUUGUUGGUAAGGUAACGGCUUACCAAGGCAACGAUGCGUAGCCGACCUGAGAGGGGAGUCAGCCACACUGGAACUGAGACACGGUCCAGACUCCUACGGGAGGCAGCAGUAGGGAAUCGUCCGCAAUGGGCGAAAGCCGGACGGGGCAACGCCGCGUGAGUGAUGAAGGUCUGCGGAUCGUAAAACUCUGUUAUUAGGGAAGAACAAAUGUGUAAGUAACUAUGCACGUCUUGACGGUACCUAAUCAGAAAGCCACGGCUAACUACGUG